rnacentral:lncRNA from 1 species
AACCAAACUUGCUAUAUUGACUUGAGCAUUACUUUAUUUCAUUCUAUGAUCUAUUUCAAGCAAUAAAAAACAUAUAAAGCUUUAGUCCAAAUACUAUUUUACUAAUUUUAAGCUCAAAUUGGACUGGUAGUAACAUAUGGGUUAUUCAAAGAAAACUGCAUAUGGAUAUUACCAAUGGCCAAUAUACUUUUUUUAUUCUCAAUAUCAUUGUUUUAUUUAUUAAUUUCUAUUAGGAAAGCUAUGUGCUUACCAAUAGUCAUAUUUUAAUCAGAGGUUCUUCAUCAAAUAAAAAUAUAUUAGUCCAAACUUAAGACAUGAAUGAGAAAAUUGUCCCCCCUUUUUUCUUCAAAUUGGAAAAGGGCUUUUUUUUGUAUAAACCAUAAUUCUGUGGUAAAACAUAGAUUAUUAAGAGCAAUUUAUAUAUCUCUCAGCUAGAUAACUUGCUAAACUGGUUCAAAAUUGCAUGUACAGUGAGCUUUUAGAAUUCUUAUAUUAGUGUAUACCAUUUGCAUAGAUUGUAAAAGGCUACCAUAUGAAACACAAAAAACUUGAAAAAUCAUAAGAUUAUUUUGACCAAGAGCUAUUUUGUACCAUAUACAAGUCAUAAAAUACAUGUUUUAUUGAUUUCAAUCACAAAAAAUGCAAAAAUAAGAACUUGGAGUCAAGUCUUAACUGCAUGCAUGUUGUAUGACCAUAAAAGGCUAAAAUACUUGUGUAUGCCAAUUCAAGAGCUUAAAUUUCCCAUAAACAGGAUGUUUCACCAAAAAAAGAUGAUUAAACAUGAUUACUAACAUCAAAUUUGACUUAUUUUCAUUGGAAUAGGUACAACUUCUAAAAAUUGGAUUUCUGAUGAUUCUCUGUAAUACAGAACCAAACUUGCUAUAUUGACUUGAGCAUUACUUUAUUUCAUUCUAUGAUCUAUUUCAAG